GUGCUGAGGCCGCCGGGACUGUAGCUUGCGACCCGCGCUCUCCACUGCGGGUCCCGUGGUGUGGGUAACUUAGGGCUACCUGUGGCGUGUUCGUUUGUCCCAGUGAGAAGCCUUUUCCAUGACAGUGGCCCGUGCACCCUCGUUUUGCCAGCUCUCGGGCGCGCAUUAAACCCGUUCACACUCAGCUUUGACCCUUGAUGAAAUGGAGGCAGGAGCAGCCCAAAGUGGCUCUUUGAUGUAGGAGCGCCACGUCGGAGGCUACUGCCUCGCCAGAAAGGGAUGGAGAGGCAAGGAUUUUAGGUGACUCGCCCUUUCUUAACUCCCUGGAUUCUAAAACUGUGCCAGUCUAUUUCUACCCUGAGAAUGGAACAGUGCAUGAAAUCAAACCAAGGACUGAGAAAAAGGGUUAAAAAAAAACCCACCAGUUUUUAUAUAACUCCAUUGUCUUUACAGUACAGGAUGGUUGGAUAUUCUCUGUGAUCAAAAUGUACAUUAUGCUAACUUUAGGAAAGAAGUGUCCAGUCCAUGAAUUUGAUAAAAAACACUGGAGGCUCAGUAUCACUAAAAACAUAUUUGGUUGCACAAGUUUAUUUGGAGCACAAAUUCAGCUACCGAGAUGAACUGUAGAGAAGAUCUGUGUUUAUUCCCAUUUGCAAGAAAGAGUAGACUGGAGAAGAGUACAGCAGACUAACCAAGGGUGUGGGUGUAGGAAUCAGAGUACUUGGGUAAUCCUGGCUUUGCCAUUUACUAGUUGUGUGACCCAGAGCAACUCACUUUCAUGCUUGUUUCCUCAGUUUCCCAUCUGCAGAAUGAAGAUAAUAAUGGAGUGAAUUAAGAAUUAAAAGGGUUAAUUAUAUAAUGUGCUGCUAUUCAUUUUUAUUGGAUAAUCUAGAAAACAGACUAGUUUAAAAGUGGAUAGUAGAGUUGGUUUCCUAAAAGGAGCUAAGGUGAAUAUGGUGAGGGGUGAAUGUACUUCAAAUGUAUGGUUAGUUAAUAUUCAUUGCAGUCUUACAUGUAGUGACUUAACUGUAUUCUUGGCUCUGAUUCAGUGUGAAAAUUUAAGAAGGGAUGUUCAAUGUGACAUCGUGAUCUAGGAUGCCUGUGGCCUGCAGGCUAUAGGCUGGACAUACUUGAAGAAUCCAUCAGGCAACUAAAGUCUUCAUUUUGAACCUGGAGCUACAAGACAAGAUGCAUAUUGCCACAUCCCACUCUCUAUGAACCAUAAAGGGAUUUGUUCCUAAAGACAUCUCAGCAGAGAGAUAGCAAUGAAAGUUGGGAAAGAGGGUGAAUAAUGAUUAAGACUGCUCACUGAACAACACAAUGCAAUUCACUGUGGAAUGGAGCUCUUCAACUGCCAAUUGUCAUAUUUCCUUUUUUUCUUCAUAUCACCCCAAGAGGUUUCUUUUGUCCUGGAGAGCUCAGCUCUGGCUUUCUGCUUAGGUUGCUCCACUAAACAAAAGCCUGAAAGGUAGACUUAGUACCUCAUUUCUAGUAUGCCCCUAUGUGUAGUUAUCAAGGUAUUUAUUCAACAUUAACUAAUCUGUUUCUGUCUCUUUUUAUAUGCCUUGGAGUUUUGUUUGCAUGUCUGUCUGUCUGUGUGAGGGUGUUAAGAUCUUGGAGUUACAGACAGUUGUGAGCUGCCAUGUGGGUGCUGGGAAUUGAGCCCCUGAGUCAUCUCUCCAGUUCAACUAAUCUGUAUCUUAGAAAAAUUCAUCUUCUGAGAACAUUUUCUUCACUUAUAUUUAAAGCGGGCAGUUGGUAGUGAACAGAUUCCAUCUUAGAGCUUUCUAGGACCUGGCACAUUAGUUCGAGAAAUUAGGAACAUAGGGGAAAAGGAGUGGGGACUUUGUAUACACUGAGAUAGACUCAGCAUGAUACCCUGUCAAAAUUUUGUUAUUGCUCACAGGCUUCAAAAAAAACUAAAAAGGAGAAAGCCCUCAUGAGAUUUCAUAAAAUACUAAGUAUGAAAAUGUAAAAAUAGACUGGUAUCUCUAAUCUUUUACAUAGUUGACAUUCACUUAGCCUUGACAACAAAGCCACCAAUACUAACACUGUUAUUUAUUUGGAAUUUUUCUUUUGUCUUUUUUAUUAUUUUUACUUAAGGAUUGUUUUGUGUUCAUACAGAGUUCUACUAUGUAGCCCUGACUGGCAGGGAACUUUUAGUGAUCUACCUUCCUCUGCCUCCUGAGUGCUGGGACUAAGGUGGGCACAUAAGUCUUGGUUUUUGAUAGACUAUAACAGACUCUCAUGAAGUAGAGACUGACCUCAAACUCAUUGUGUAAUCUAGAAAGGUCUUAAAUUCUUGAUUCUCCUGCCUCAACCUCCCAAGUGUUUUUGUGUGUGGAACCCAGGGCCUCUCACAUGCUGAGCAUGCAUAUUUCCACCCUUCUACUGACUCAUAUACCUGACCUGGAAUGUCUCUCUCUCCUUCCUCACCCCGCCCUUCUGUCUCUCUAAAACAGUCAUCAUCACUUAAACUUUGUGGAUAUCUGUAUAACUCAAACUCACUACAAUUUUUACUAUAUCUGCAAAUUUAAAUCAAGAACUUAACUCCAUAUUUUAACUACUAAAAUAUUUUCUAAGAGGGAUUAUGUUGAAGGUAACUAACAGCACGGAAGUAGCUUCAUGCUAGUUUGCCUAAGUCUAGAAGAAAAAUGGGGAGUUCAGGCCAGCAAGAUCAACUUAGUGGGUAAAUGUAUUUGCUACCAAGCCUGACAGCCUAUGUUUGAUCCUUGAGAUGUGUAUUAUGGAAGAGAGAAACCCCAAAAGUUGUCCUCUGACCUGCACACAUGCAUACUCUCAUAGACACGUUUGGAAUAUGGUAACAUUUUCAAAAAGAGAGAAAAUGGAAUGUGUUUAUCACUUCUGUGGUUUCUGAAAGGGCUUUUUUGCUCUUACCUGCUGCUAUGUGUUUUGCAUUCUAAGUAUGAAGACAGCCAAAGAGUUUCCUCAACCAGGAAGUUCUUAUCUGGGAUUCUGACUCAUUCCUCACCCUCUGGAUUCGGAACAGAGCCUGGGAGGCGAUGAUGCGCAGAGAGGGCUCAGGAUCUUGUAACAGUUCUCUCAGAUCUACAUGGAAGAAACCGAGACUGGACUUUCUAGAAAGGAGCACUGCUCUAGAUACCAAGUAGCCAACAAACCAGAGCAGCUGGGAUUAAAAAGGCAGCUUUUUCCAAAGCUGUCUCAGAGUCUGUACAUUGAUGAACUAAUUCCAACUUUGACAUGUAAAACCCACUCUUCUGAAUUGCUUAGUAUUUCAUUCCUUUGCAAUAGUCUACCUAAAAUAAAAUUAUUUGGGCAUUCCAAGCUAUGUCUAAUGUUAACCUCGUAACUUCUUUGAUCACAGUAAAUCUGUUUCUCGGCCCAAAGCACUUCCCAAAACUCAGGCGCCUUCCCACACACAGAUAGCCUGGUGCCAUAGAGAUAACACAUCACUUAACAAAGCUUCCUUAACACCUGCACUCCCUGGUGAAAUCUCCUGCUCAUUGCUUAUCAAACGUUUCCUGCUUCUGACAGCCCCUGUCUCAUUCCUCAGUGUCUCCUGUCUACAACCCCCCCACAUUCCUCUGCCACAUGCAAUGCCAUGUUCCCCUAUGUAAGCUCCUACGAAAUUCUCAAUAAACAGAGCUUGAUCAGCC